CCUACGGGUGGCAGCAGUCGAGAAUCAUUCACAAUGGGGGAAACCCUGAUGGUGCGACGCCGCGUGGGGGAAUGAAGGUCUUCGGAUUGUAAACCCCUGUCAUGUGGGAGCAAAUUAAAAAGAUAGUACCACAAGAGGAAGAGACGGCUAACUCUGUGCCAGCAGCCGCGGUAAUACAGAGGUCUCAAGCGUUGUUCGGAACCACUGGGCGUAAAGCGUGCGUAGGCAGUUUCGUAAGUCGUGUGUGAAAGGGGCGGGCUCAACCCGCGGACGGCACAUGAUACUGCGAGACUAGAGUAAUGAAGGGGGAACCGGAAUUCUCGGUGUAGCAGUGAAAUGCGUAGAUAUCGAGAGGAACACUCGUGGCGAAGGCGGGUUCCUGGACAUUAACUGACGCUGAGGCACGAAGGCCAGGGGAGCGAAAGGGAUUAGAUACCCCUGUAGUC
rnacentral:rRNA from 1 species